rnacentral:rRNA from 1 species
GAGUCGAGUUAUUUGGGACUAUAGCUCUAAUAGUUUGGUUGGUGGUAAUGACACAUCAAAGGCUAAAUAUUGGUUAGUCGAUGCAUUUUACGGAGACCGAUAGCAUACAAGUACCGUAAGGGAACGAUGAAAAGCACCCUAUUAAGUUCACGGCGUCGGCCGCGUACAAUUCGUUGUACAACGCCGCGCCCAACAACUACAGUGGGAGUGAAAGAGAGAGUGAAAUCGCCUAUACAUAUAAUAUACUACGCGGCGUAUACACACACACAUAUACCCCCUCGUAUUAUAAGUCUGCGUUAGUACAAUCGGACAGAGUGUCGUAUUAUAGCCGCCUAAUAUACAGUUUCUAAUUGUAUAUUAUGGCUCGGCUCAUAGCGCGCUUCGGCCGCUAUACGCGACACAACUGUACGACCCGUUUUGAAACACGGACCAAGGAGUUCAACUGGAUUACGAGUCGUCGAGUGUAUUUAUUUAUACUCACACGGCAAAGCGAAAGCAAUCUUAAUCCUGUGCUAGGUUGGCGCCUUUGUGCGCUAACCGCAGCACGCGCUGAGUAAGUAUACGCGUGAAACCUUUCUAAGGUGACGCGCGUACCUUAGAGAGUCAAAUCGCUAAGGAUUACUCAAGCGUUCAACGAGUAUAUCUUGUUGAGACCCGAAAGAUGGUGAACUAUGCUCGGAUAUGGCGAAGUCAGGUGAAAACUUGAUGGAAGCUUGCGUUGUGCGGAACUGACGUGCAAAUCGUUACCGCCUAACCUGAGUAUAGGGGCGAAAGACUCAUCGAACCAUCUAGUAGCUGGUUCCCUCCGAAGUUUCCCUCAGGAUAGC